AUUGAACGCUGGCGGCAGGCCUAACACAUGCAAGUCGAACGAGUGGCGGAAGGGUGAGUAAUGUCUGGGAAACUGCCUGAUGGAGGGGGAUAACUACUGGAAACGGUAGCUAAUACCGCAUACCCUCAGAUGUGCCCAGAUGGGCUUAGCUAGUUGGUGGGGGAACGGCUAACCAAGGCGACGAUCCCUAGCUGGUCUGAGAGGAUGACGAGCCACACUGGAACUGUUACGUCGUCCAGCCUCGUACGGGAGGCAGCAGUGGGGAAUAUGGCACAAUGGGCGCAAGCCUGAUGCAGCCAUUCCGCGUGUAUUAAGAAGGCCUUCGGUUUGUAAAGUACUUUCAUCGGGGAGGCGUUACCCGCAGAAGAAGCACCGGCUAACUCCGUGCCAGCAGCCUCGGUAAUUC
rnacentral:rRNA from 1 species